rnacentral:rRNA from 1 species
GACGAACGCUGGCGGCGUGCUUAACACAUGCAAGUCGAACGGAAAGGCCCUGCUUUUGUGGGGUGCUCGAGUGGCGAACGGGUGAGUAACACGUGAGUAACCUGCCCUUGACUUUGGGAUAACUUCAGGAAACUGGGGCUAAUACCGGAUAGGAGCUCCUGCUGCAUGGUGGGGGUUGGAAAGUUUCGGCGGUUGGGGAUGGACUCGCGGCUUAUCAGCUUGUUGGUGGGGUAGUGGCUUACCAAGGCUUUGACGGGUAGCCGGCCUGAGAGGGUGACCGGCCAAAUGGGGACGGGGAAAAGGCCCAGACCCCUAGGGGGGGCAGAGGGGGGGAAUAUUGCAAAAGGGGGGGAAGCCGGAUGGAGCAACGCCGCGGGGGGGAUGACGGCCUUGGGGUUGUAAACCGCUUUCGCCUGGGACGAAGCGGGGGGGACGGUAAUGGGAAAAGAAGCACCGGCUAAAUACGU